rnacentral:rRNA from 1 species
GAUGAACGCUAGCGGCAGGCUUAAUACAUGCAAGUCGAGGGGUAACAUGGGUAGCAAUACCUGAUGACGACCGGCAAACGGGUGCGGAACAUGUACGCAAUCUUCCCAAAACUGGUGAAUAGCCCUCCGAAAGGAGGAUUAAUACACCGUAACAUAACGAAGUGGCAUCACUUUGUUAUUAUAGCUCCGGCGGUUUUGGAUGAGCGUGCACCUGAUUAGGUAGUUGGCGGGGUAACGGCCCACCAAGCCUACGAUCAGUAACUGGUGUGAGAGCACGACCAGUCACACGGGCACUGAGACACGGGCCCGACUCCUACGGGAGGCAGCAGUAAGGAAUAUUGGUCAAUGGACGAAAGUCUGAACCAGCCAUGCCGCGUGAAGGAUGAAGGUCCUCUGGAUUGUAAACUUCUUUUAUAUGGGACG